CCUGCAAAACGAAUCUAAGUUCCCCCUUAACCCUCUUUUUCCUCCCCAGACAAACCCAACCCAAAUGUGAUAGUUAAGGGCUAUUUAAAGGGGGUACAGCCCCUUUAAAAAAGGACACAACCUCCACCAGCGGAUAACCCCUGUACGCCCAACCCCGUGGGCCUUAAAGCAGCCACCCCCAAAGAUUGCGUCAAAGCUCCAUCAACCAAAAACCCCCAAAACCAAUGCGACUCCCUACACCCACAGCAGGCCAACCUAUAACAAUAGAUGAAUCAAUGCUAGAACGAGUAACCAGGACACUAUGUCCCCCCAAGCGCCAGCCUGUAUACCAUUAACAGUAAAACCUCAAUAAUAACCAUCCCCACCAUUGAACCCACCCUGUCAACCCAACUCAGGGGCGCACACUGGAGUGAUCAAAGUCUACAAAAGGAACUCGGCAAACCUAAGACCCGACUGUUUACCAAAAACAUAGCCUUCAGCCAAACAAGUAUUGAAGGUGAUGCCUGCCCAGUGACACUAUGUUUAACGGCCGCGGUA
rnacentral:rRNA from 1 species